ACUCCUACGGGAGGCAGCAGUGGGGAAUAUUGCACAAUGGGCGCAAGCCUGAUGCAGCCAUGCCGCGUGUAUGAAGAAGGCCUUCGGGUUGUAAAGUACUUUCAGCAGUGAGGAAGGUGGGUAUGUUAAAUAGCAUAUUUCAUUUUGACGUAGCUGCAGAAAGAAAGCACCGGGCUAACUCCGUGCCAGCAGCCGCGGUAAUACGGAGGGUGCGAGCGUUAAUCGGAAUUACUGGGCGUAAAGCGCAUGCAGGUGGUUUGUUAAGUCAGAUGUGAAAGCCCGGGGCUCAAGCCUCGGAAUUGCAUUUUGAAAACUGGCAAAACUAGAGUACUGUAGAGGGGGGUGAGAAUUUAUCAGGUGUAGCGGUGAAAAUGCGUAGAGAUCUG
rnacentral:rRNA from 1 species